rnacentral:rRNA from 1 species
CCUACGGGUGGCAGCAGUGGGGAAUAUUGCACAAUGGGGGAAACCCUGAUGCAGCGACGCCGCGUGAGUGAAGAAGUAAUUCGUUAUGUAAAGCUCUAUCAGCCGGGAAGAAAAUGACGGUACCUGAGUAAGAAGCCCCGGCUAACUACGUGCCAGCAGCCGCGGUAAUACGUAGGGGGCAAGCGUUAUCCGGAUUUACUGGGUGUAAAGGGGGCGUAGACGGCAGUGCAAGUCUGGAGUGAAAGGCGGGGGCUCAACCCCCGGACUGCUCUGGAAACUGUACGGCUGGAGUGCAGGAGAGGUAAGUGGAAGUCCUAGUGUAGCGGUGAAAGGCGUAGAUAUUAGGAGGAACACCAGUGGCGAAGGCGGCUUACUGGACUGUAACGGACGUUGAGGCUCGAAAGCGUGGGGAGCAAACAGGAUUAGAUACCCCUGUAGUC